AAAACUUUCAACAACGGAUCUCUUGGUUCUGGCAUCGAUGAAGAACGCAGCGAAAUGCGAUAAGUAAUGUGAAUUGCAGAAUUCAGUGAAUCAUCGAAUCUUUGAACGCACAUUGCGCCCGCCGGUAUUCCGGCGGGCAUGCCUGUCCGAGCGUCAUUU
rnacentral:rRNA from 1 species